CCUACGGGAGGCAGCAGUGGGGAAUCUUGCGCAAUGGGCGAAAGCCUGACGCAGCCAUGCCGCGUGUAUGAUGAAGGUCUUAGGAUUGUAAAAUACUUUCACCGGUGAAGAUAAUGACUGUAGCCGGAGAAGAAGCCCCGGCUAACUUCGUGCCAGCAGCCGCGGUAAUACGAAGGGGGCUAGCGUUGCUCGGAAUUACUGGGCGUAAAGGGAGCGUAGGCGGACAUUUAAGUCAGAGGUGAAAUCCCGGAGCUUAACUUCGGAACUGCCUUUGAUACUGGGUGUCUUGAGUGUGAGAGAGGUAUGUGGAACUCCGAGUGUAGAGGUGAAAUUCGUAGAUAUUCGGAAGAACACCAGUGGCGAAGGCGACAUACUGGCUCAUUACUGACGCUGAGGCUCGAAAGCGUGGGGAGCAAACAGGAUUAGAUACCCUGGUAGUCCACGCCGUAAACGAUGAUUGCUAGUUGUCGGGAAGCUUGCUUCUCGGUGACGCNGCUACGCAUAAGUACANCCGCCGUGGGAGGUACGGUCGCGAAGAAGUUAAACUAACGUAAAGUUAAAGUUAGUACGGCGUUGAGACGUUGCCGACGGACGACGACGAGGGAGGAGG
rnacentral:rRNA from 1 species